rnacentral:lncRNA from 1 species
UAAAACUUAAUUAAUAUUAAAAGUUGAACCUCAAUAUCUUAAUGAACAAUAUGAAGUCAACAAAUUGAUAUAGGAUUUAAGUUUUCAUUAUAUGUCUGUACAUGAUAUUUUAAAUGAAAAUAUAUGAAGCAUUCGUAUUUAUAAACCUAAGGUAUUACAUAAUUAUGGUUUCAGAGAUAAAUGACCUAUUACAAACAAGUGACUCAGUUUCGCUGGCAUAUGUAUUGCUUCAAAGAUUUACAUUUUUCGCCAUCACUAUAUCCAAAGUGGAAUUUAGGUUCCUCAAGGGUAGUAGAUAUACUUAUUAGCUUUGCAAUGAAUGUUGAUAUGUUCGAAUCAAAUAACCGCA